rnacentral:ncRNA from 2 species
UCAUGUCCCGCAGGAGAGACCGGCCCGUACGGCCGGCGCCGAAGGCGCAACACCGCCCGGAAUCGCUCAGGCAGAAGGACUGCGGGGAUAAC